rnacentral:lncRNA from 1 species
UUCAGUAACUUCUUUACAAUUAAUUCCUCCACCUAAAAUGUCGUCCAGAUAUGAGCAGGAUGUUGUAAUAUGCACAGCAGAUUCCUCCUCAUGCAGCAUGUUGAUAGAUGCCAAACUGAUUCACAUGGUUGCUGCCACAUCUUUGUUAAUCUAGACGGUUCAAUAGUUAGUUAGUAGGGUCAAAAAUGUAGUAAGUCAAGUAGGGAUUGCUUAUAAAUGGAGAGUUGGGGGUUGGGAAUUAUUAUUCACGUGUAAGUUGAGUCAGGGGGAGAGACCCGGCCUCUCGAAUAGCCUGAGAUUUGUUACCAAUUCUGUUCAUUUACUCCUCCAAUAAGAAUUUACUUUGAUUUUCCAUUGUUUAUCAAUUCAAAUGAGCUUCAACUGUCACUGCAGGUUAGGGGUUCUAUCAAAAUGGUAUCAGAGCACUAUCCUGGAGAUGAUAUUUGGGACAUUACAUCUGACGAAGAAAAGGAAUUAGAAAAUCGGGUUAGUAAUCUUGAAGUGAAGAUUGAAAAAAUGAAUUCAGAAAUAAGAGGGGGAAUAGAAGCCAUGAAAUUUGAGUUCCAGAGAAGUUUUGCAAUAAUGAUGGAGAAGAUGAAUAUGAUGUUGAUGAAAAGGGAUGAAGGGGAGGAAAAAGGUCCAGCAGCGGCAUCUCCUGCAACCAACUCGAAUCCCCCAAAAUUGAAGGAAGUUGCAAUGAAUGCGGCUGAAACCACUAUGGAUGCUGAGACUCCAUUAAAAUUCAAAGUGGCAGGAGAAAGUGAAGCCGUAAGGAUUUACCAUGAGGAGUCUGAGAAAGUAGAAAACAAAAGUCGACCAAUCGAAAAACCGGUGUGUGUGGGAGAUAGUCUUCUCGGCAGGUUUUUAAGAGAGGAAAUCCGUCAGCCAUUGAGAAGCGGGGAGGAAUUAAAGAAGGCAGAGAACGGUGAGACUAAGGAGGAACUGUCAACAUCGGAGGAGAAGAAUUCUGUGGAGUCGGAAUGAAAGGAGAAGGGACGGGUCGCCCAUUCGCUGGAAACCACCCACACAUCUGAUUUUCCAUCCGAUUCUGAUGAAAUCUGGGGAAGUAGAGAUACCCGAAGUCGAAGCAAUGAAACCACCAUCAUAGAAAAUCGAAGAUCAAUUUUCCCCCGCAUCUCCACGCUCACUACACCAGGAUCAAUUGGAGUCUCACUGUCCGCAUCGUCGGCGACCCAGACAAUGUACUGGAGAAAAUUUCACCCAUGGGCUGAAUUCGUUGGAUAGGGUUGAAGUUUGGAGGAUGUCUCAAGGUUUGGGCCAUAUAAUUAAAUGGGCCCAGUGGGUGGAAGAAAGCAAUGACUCUAAGAAACAGACCCACUUACCUUACCGUCCAUAUAGGAGCAAAAUUAAUAUACAUGGCCCAAGUUCCCUUGACCACUUCAGUCCAUUCCAAGUUUCCAAUGAAGUCGCGUGCAGUCCUAGAUCGACUGCCAUCACAGUGCUCUGGUGGGUGACAACUAACAAGGGGGUGUCAGAAUUUAAAAAGCUCCAAUGGAAAGGGAAGAAAGGAGGUGCAGUCAACUACACACUCAUUUCGACGAGGCAAGUUUAAAAAUCGGACAAUUUGUGGGUAGGGUCGACAGGCUAUGGAGUUGCCUCGGAUACAAUAGUUGAGCGAGUUGCUCGAAUAUAUAAGUUCGGUCACUUCAAAAGGCUGAAACGCCCCUUCUUCGCGGUGAUCAAGAUUGGAGCUCUUACAAAGGAAAUUGUACGAUUGUACAAUGAAUUCAACAGCCUCCACCUUGAGGACAAGGUGGAUUUUGAGACGGCGGAUAAUGAUAGAUGCCAAACCGAUUCACAUGGUUGCUGCCACAUCUUUAUUAAUCUAGAAGGUUUAAUAGUUAGUUAGUAGGGUCAAAAAUGUAAUAAGUCAAGUAGGGAUUGCUUAUAAAUAGAGAGUUGGGAGUUGGGA